rnacentral:rRNA from 1 species
UACGGAGGGAGCUAGCGUUGUUCGGAAUUACUGGGCGUAAAGCGCACGUAGGCGGCGAUUCAAGUCAGAGGUGAAAGCCCGGGGCUCAACUCCGGAACUGCCUUUGAAACUAGAUUGCUAGAAUCUUGGAGAGGCGAGUGGAAUUCCGAGUGUAGAGGUGAAAUUCGUAGAUAUUCGGAAGAACACCAGUGGCGAAGGCGACUUACUGGACACAUAUUGACGCUGAGGUGCGAAAGCGUGGGGAGCAAACAGG